rnacentral:rRNA from 1 species
GAUGAACGCUGGCGGCGUGCCUAAUACAUGCGAGUCGAGCGAACAGACGAGGAGCUUGCUCCUCUGACGUUAGCGGCGGACGGGUGAGUAACACGUGGAUAACCUACCUAUAAGACUGGGAUAACUUCGGGAAACCGGAGCUAAUACCGGAUAAUAUAUUGAACCGCAUGGUUCAAUAGUGAAAGACGGUUUUGCUGUCACUUAUAGAUGGAUCCGCGCCGCAUUAGCUAGUUGGUAAGGUAACGGCUUACCAAGGCAACGAUGCGUAGCCGACCUGAGAGGGUGAUCGGCCACACUGGAACUGAGACACGGUCCAGACUCCUACGGGAGGCAGCAGAAGGGAAUCUUCCGCAAUGGGCGAAAGCCUGACGGAGCAACGCCGCGUGAGUGAUGAAGGUCUUCGGAUCGUAAAACUCUGUUAUUAGGGAAGAACAAAUGUGUAAGUAACUAUGCACGUCUUGACGGUACCUAAUCAGAAAGCCACGGCUAACUACGUG